rnacentral:rRNA from 1 species
GACGAACGCUGGCGGCGUGCUUAACACAUGCAAGUCGAACGGAAAGGCCCCCUUGUGGGGUACUCGAGUGGCGAACGGGUGAGUAACACGUGAGUAACCUACCCUUGACUUUGUGAUAACUUCAUGAAACUGGGGCUAAUACCGGAUAGGAGCUCCUGCUGCAUGGUGGGGGUUGGAAAGUUUCGGCGGUUGGGGAUGGACUCGCGGCUUAUCAGCUUGUUGGUGGGGUAGUGGCUCACCAAGGCUUUGGCGGGUAGCCGGCCUGAGAGGGUGACCGGCCACAUUGGGACUGAGAUACGGCCCAGACUCCUACGGGAGGCAGCAGUGGGGAAUAUUGCACAAUGGGCGGAAGCCUGAUGCAGCAACGCCGCGUGCGGGAUGACGGCCUUCGGGUUGUAAACCGCUUUCGCCUGUGACGAAGCGUGAGUGACGGUAAUGGGUAAAGAAGCACCGGCUAACUACGUG